rnacentral:misc_RNA from 1 species
UGCGCCCAACGCCAUUGUACCGAAG